UGGGGAAUCUUGCACAAUGGACGAAAGUCUGAUGCAGCGACGCCGCGUGAGCGAUGAAGCCCUUCGGGGUGUAAAGCUCUUUCGACGGGAACGAUAAUGACGGUACCCGAAGAAGAAGCUGCGGCUAACUACGUGCCAGCAGCCGCGGUAAUACGUAGGCAGCAAGCGUUGUUCGGAAUUACUGGGCGUAAAGAGUGUGUAGGCGGUGUUCUAAGUCUGGUGUGAAAUCUCCCGGCUCAACUCAUAGACUGCAUGAGAAACUGCCGGGCUUGAGUGUGGGAGAGGUGAGUGGAAUUCCCGGUGUAGCGGUGAAAUGCGUAGAGAUGUGGAGGAAUACCAGUGGCGAAGGCGGCCACCUGGACAGUAACUGACGCUGAGGCGCGAAAGUGUGGGUAGCAAACAGGAUUAGAUACCCUGGUAGUCCACGCUGUAAACGAUGAGUGCUAGAUGUUGGGAAGAAACUUCUCAGUGUCGACGCUAACGCAAUAAGCACUCCGCCUGGGGAGUACGGUCGCAAGAUUA
rnacentral:rRNA from 1 species